rnacentral:snRNA from 1 species
GGAAAUUAAUGCUCUUUUAGUAUUUGUCCAGCAGGUUUUCUCAAUGAGAAAGCCCCC